GUCCCAGGAUGCUCUGCUUAUUGAGCACUUUCAUCUGCUUUUAGGCUUUAGUUGGGUUUUGUCUUUGUCUGCUAUUCUUUCAGGCUGCAAUUUUCUCCCAUUUUUUUUUUUCACAUUCUUGUCUCUAGAGGACUUCUGAGUUCUUCCUAAAGGUAUUUCUUAUGGGUUGUGAGCUGAACACCAGAUAACCAAGUUUGUUGGAAUUCUGUCUAAAAAUUCAUGUCUUUGUCUCAGAUUUUGUGACAUCUUUUUUUAACUUUUCAGAAGUGGCCUAACAUCCUUCCUAGGUCUUGACAGCAUCACGCACACUUGAGAUGGCCAUCUAACUGACUGCCAGAAGUGAGACGUCUCUGAGACAAUGGAGAGUUCUUCAUGGGUGUGACUAGCUGUCUCCCAGGGCUCCAGAGUGUGAGCCCGCUUUAUAGAUUCCUGAGCACAUCACAGUGGACCAGGGAGGGAAGGCUGAAGUGGACAGGUCAUCCUUGCAGCCACAUCUACUGCUAUUUCCACUGGAACCGCAAAUGCUUCCACCGUCCAUGUGUUUCCCAGGGUACCUUCAAUCUCACAUCCUUACGCUGUCAGUAGAUAUGGAAAAAAGCCCUCUCCCUCCACCACUGACCAUGGGAGACGGGACAGGAGAGAAAAAGAAGAAAGAGGAGAUUGGGGAUGGAGUGGAUGCAGAGGAGGAAACCUACUUCUCCCUCCCCCAGCCCACCCUUCCUUCAGCUGAAAAACAGCUCCUGUCACCUUAACUCUAACCUCCCCAGCAAGCCUUCCGCACAGCAAAGCUGCUUUUAGCAUUUGCUCAUUCCAAGCUGAGAUGGGAAUUACAUGGGAAAGCACUCUUAUUUCUUCCCUCCCAUCCUGGAGGAGAGACUCAUGCAAGUAAACAAGAAAACGCUGAGAAAACAAGAACAAGCCCUGCAGUAGAUUGUACUUGUAGAUGCACGCCCUAAGAGAUUCUGUAAAAUACAGCCGAUCAAUGAAUCAGAAAGAGAAAAAAACAGAAGGAAGAGGAUGCUGAAAAUAGUACCUGCCCGUAAACCUCGGCGCGAAUCACCUGGGAUGUACCAGCUGGUGAGGUAUGAAGCCAGCUUUGAACAAGCGCACCUACUGUCAUUUACAUUUUAAUUAUCACGUUUUAUGAGGCUGUUACAUCUUAAUGAAAUACAAAUUUGUUUACCCAAAGUUCUCUUUGCCAUAUGGCUCAAUAAUCGGGCCUGUCUCAUAAGCUUCACAGGGUCGGGAUGGAAAAGAAUGAUCUUUCAUAAUAAUACAACCUUCUAGAAGGAUGCUGUCCA
rnacentral:lncRNA from 1 species